UACGGGGGGGGCAAGCGUUGUUCGGAAUUACUGGGCGUAAAGGGCUCGUAGGCGGCCAACUAAGUCAGACGUGAAAUCCCUCGGCUUAACCGGGGAACUGCGUCUGAUACUGGAUGGCUCGAGUUUGGGAGAGGGAUGCGGAAUUCCAGGUGUAGCGGUGAAAUGCGUAGAUAUCGAGAGGAACACCGGUGGCGAAGGCGGCCAACUGGACAGAUACUGACGCUGAGACACGAAAGCGUGGGGAGCAAACAGG
rnacentral:rRNA from 1 species